rnacentral:tRNA from 2 species
CUUAAGCGGAGGUUAAACCCCUUCAGUUUCUG